rnacentral:rRNA from 1 species
GACGAACGCUGGCGGCGUGCCUAAUACAUGCAAGUAGAACGCUGAAGAGAGGAGCUUGCUCUUCUUGGAUGAGUUGCGAACGGGUGAGUAACGCGUAGGUAACCUGCCUUGUAGCGGGGGAUAACUAUUGGAAACGAUAGCUAAUACCGCAUAACAAUGGAUGACACAUGUCAUUUAUUUGAAAGGGGCAAUUGCUCCACUACAAGAUGGACCUGCGUUGUAUUAGCUAGUAGGUGAGGUAACGGCUCACCUAGGCGACGAUACAUAGCCGACCUGAGAGGGUGAUCGGCCACACUGGGACUGAGACACGGCCCAGACUCCUACGGGAGGCAGCAGUAGGGAAUCUUCGGCAAUGGGGGCAACCCUGACCGAGCAACGCCGCGUGAGUGAAGAAGGUUUUCGGAUCGUAAAGCUCUGUUGUAAGUCAAGAACGAGUGUGAGAGUGGAAAGUUCACACUGUGACGGUAGCUUACCAGAAAGGGACGGCUAACUACGUGCCAGCAGCCGCGGUAAUACGUAGGUCCCGAGCGUUGUCCGGAUUUAUUGGGCGUAAAGCGAGCGCAGGCGGUUUGAUAAGUCUGAAGUUAAAGGCUGUGGCUCAACCAUAGUUCGCUUUGGAAACUGUCAAACUUGAGUGCAGAAGGGGAGAGUGGAAUUCCAUGUGUAGCGGUGAAAUGCGUAGAUAUAUGGAGGAACACCGGUGGCGAAAGCGGCUCUCUGGUCCGUAACUGACGCUGAGGCUCGAAAGCGUGGGGAGCGAACAGGAUUAGAUACCCUGGUAGUCCACGCCGUAAACGAUGAGUGCUAGGUGUUGGAUCCUUUCCGGGAUUCAGUGCCGCAGCUAACGCAUUAAGCACUCCGCCUGGGGAGUACGACCGCAAGGUUGAAACUCAAAGGAAUUGACGGGGGCCCGCACAAGCGGUGGAGCAUGUGGUUUAAUUCGAAGCAACGCGAAGAACCUUACCAGGUCUUGACAUCCCGAUGCUAUUUCUAGAGAUAGAAAGUUACUUCGGUACAUCGGUGACAGGUGGUGCAUGGUUGUCGUCAGCUCGUGUCGUGAGAUGUUGGGUUAAGUCCCGCAACGAGCGCAACCCCUAUUGUUAGUUGCCAUCAUUCAGUUGGGCACUCUAGCGAGACUGCCGGUAAUAAACCGGAGGAAGGUGGGGAUGACGUCAAAUCACCAUGCCCCUUAUGACCUGGGCUACACACGUGCUACAAUGGUUGGUACAACGAGUUGCGAGUCGGUGACGGCAAGCUAAUCUCUUAAAGCCAAUCUCAGUUCGGAUUGUAGGCUGCAACUCGCCUACAUGAAGUCGGAAUCGCUAGUAAUCGCGGAUCAGCACGCCGCGGUGAAUACGUUCCCGGGCCU